rnacentral:misc_RNA from 1 species
UCCAUCUCAACCAGGAGUGGUGGCGGCCAGGCAUUGCGUCCUCGGUUCAGCCCCGCUUUCCUGCAUCCUUUUUUUACGAGCACCUUUCGUUCUCCUUCGGCGGGGCAACCUGCCGCUGGAACUUAACAAAACCUUUUUUUGCAUCUAGCAUUACCUGUUCUGAUACAAACAAUCGUUA